GUGGUGGCGGCGCGGCGGCAGCGGCGGCGGCGGCUGCUCACUGUGGAAGAGGGGUGCGCGGCAGCAGCAGUGGGCUACGCAAGUUCCGCAAGGGCUCCCCCGUCCUCGCCUCCAGCCUCUCCUCGCUCACUGCCGGUGCGGGGCCGUCUCGCGACGGCGACUCUUGCGGCCGAGCGCGCGGAGUGCGGUUCUGAGGGGAGCGCAUCGCCUCCGCCGCGGGGCCACCUCGCCGCCUCCUCGCUCGGUGGCGGGUGCAGUUCUCGCCCGAAGCUCUGUCCCCAGCUCCAUGAAUGGAAAUCGGCUCUGCAGGACCUGUUGGGGCCCAGCCCCUACUCAUGGUGCCCAGAAGACCUGGCUAUGGCACCAUGGGCAAACCCAUUAAACUGCUGGCUAACUGUUUUCAAGUUGAAAUCCCAAAGAUUGAUGUCUACCUCUAUGAGGUAGACAUUAAACCAGACAAGUGUCCUAGGAGAGUGAACAGGGAGGUAGUUGACUCAAUGGUUCAGCAUUUUAAAGUAACUAUAUUUGGAGACCGUAGACCAGUAUAUGAUGGAAAAAGAAGCCUGUACACAGCCAAUCCACUUCCUGUGGCAACUACUGGGGUAGAUUUAGAUGUUACAUUACCUGGGGAAGGUGGAAAAGAUCGACCUUUCAAGGUGUCAAUCAAAUUUGUCUCUCGGGUGAGUUGGCACCUACUGCAUGAAGUACUGACAGGACGGACCUUGCCUGAGCCACUGGAAUUAGACAAGCCAAUCAGCACUAACCCUGUCCAUGCCGUUGAUGUGGUGCUACGACAUCUGCCCUCCAUGAAAUAUACACCUGUGGGGCGUUCCUUUUUCUCAGCUCCAGAAGGAUAUGACCACCCUCUUGGAGGGGGCAGGGAAGUAUGGUUUGGAUUCCAUCAGUCUGUUCGACCUGCCAUGUGGAAAAUGAUGCUUAAUAUUGAUGUUUCUGCCACUGCCUUCUACAAAGCACAACCUGUAAUUCAGUUCAUGUGUGAAGUUCUUGACAUUCAUAAUAUUGAUGAGCAACCAAGACCUCUGACUGAUUCUCAUCGGGUAAAAUUCACCAAAGAGAUAAAAGGUCUAAAAGUUGAAGUGACUCAUUGUGGAACAAUGAGACGGAAGUACCGUGUUUGUAAUGUAACAAGAAGGCCUGCCAGUCAUCAAACCUUUCCUUUACAGUUAGAAAAUGGCCAAACUGUGGAAAGAACAGUAGCACAGUACUUCAGAGAAAAGUAUACACUUCAGCUGAAGUACCCACACCUUCCCUGUCUGCAAGUGGGGCAGGAACAGAAGCAUACCUACCUGCCACUAGAAGUCUGUAAUAUUGUGGCAGGGCAACGAUGUAUCAAAAAGCUAACAGACAAUCAGACUUCUACUAUGAUCAAGGCAACAGCAAGAUCUGCACCAGAUAGACAAGAGGAAAUUAGCAGAUUGGUAAGAAGUGCAAAUUAUGAAACAGAUCCAUUUGUUCAGGAGUUUCAAUUUAAAGUUCGGGAUGAAAUGGCCCAUGUAACCGGACGCGUACUUCCAGCACCUAUGCUCCAGUAUGGAGGACGGAACCGGACAGUAGCAACACCAAGCCAUGGUGUGUGGGACAUGCGUGGAAAACAGUUCCACACAGGAGUUGAAAUUAAAAUGUGGGCCAUUGCUUGUUUUGCCACACAGAGGCAGUGCAGAGAAGAAAUACUAAAGGGUUUCACAGACCAGCUGCGUAAAAUUUCUAAGGAUGCGGGGAUGCCGAUCCAGGGUCAGCCAUGUUUCUGCAAAUAUGCACAGGGGGCAGACAGCGUAGAGCCCAUGUUUCGGCAUCUCAAGAAUACAUAUUCUGGCCUACAGCUCAUUAUUGUCAUCCUGCCUGGGAAAACGCCAGUAUAUGCAGAGGUAAAACGUGUAGGAGAUACACUUUUGGGUAUGGCUACCCAGUGUGUUCAAGUCAAGAAUGUAAUAAAAACAUCUCCUCAAACUCUCUCAAAUUUGUGCCUAAAGAUAAAUGUUAAACUCGGAGGGAUCAAUAAUAUUCUUGUACCUCAUCAAAGGCCUUCUGUGUUCCAGCAACCAGUGAUAUUUUUGGGAGCAGAUGUCACUCAUCCUCCUGCUGGUGAUGGAAAGAAGCCUUCUAUCGCUGCUGUUGUAGGUAGUAUGGAUGCCCACCCAAGCAGAUACUGUGCCACAGUCAGAGUUCAGAGACCCCGACAGGAGAUCAUACAAGACUUGGCCUCCAUGGUCCGGGAACUUCUCAUUCAAUUUUAUAAGUCAACUCGGUUCAAACCUACUCGUAUCAUCUUUUAUCGGGAUGGUGUUUCAGAGGGACAGUUUAGACAGGUAUUAUAUUAUGAACUACUAGCAAUUCGAGAAGCCUGCAUCAGUUUGGAGAAAGACUAUCAACCUGGGAUAACCUACAUUGUGGUUCAGAAGAGACAUCACACUCGAUUAUUUUGUGCUGAUAGAACAGAAAGGGUUGGAAGAAGUGGCAAUAUCCCAGCUGGAACAACAGUUGAUACGGACAUUACGCACCCAUAUGAAUUUGAUUUUUACCUUUGUAGCCAUGCUGGAAUACAGGGUACCAGCCGUCCUUCACACUACCAUGUUUUAUGGGACGAUAACUGCUUUACUGCGGAUGAACUUCAACUGCUAACUUACCAGCUCUGCCACACUUACGUACGCUGUACACGAUCUGUUUCUAUACCUGCACCAGCAUAUUAUGCUCAUCUGGUGGCAUUCAGAGCCAGAUACCAUCUUGUGGACAAAGAACAUGACAGUGCUGAAGGAAGCCACGUUUCAGGACAGAGCAAUGGGCGAGACCCACAAGCUCUUGCCAAGGCUGUACAGAUUCACCAAGACACCUUACGCACAAUGUACUUUGCUUAACAAGUCCAAGUGUGUUCUCUAAAAGGAAGAACUGAAAGAAGAAUCAACAUACAACUAUCAAGUUACUGGCAUUGAGGACCACACAUUUAUAGUACCGUAGCUGCUAUAUUUAUUUAAGUAGAGUCUGACAAUUACUGCACUAAACAAAAAGAAGAUGAACAGGAUUCAAGGACAAUAAGAGUGUCAAGUACUGAAGAUGAAAAGUUGGGGAGAUUCAUGCUUGAAAAAUGAACAAAAAGUCCAUCUUGAGCAGUGAGGUAGCCAACACUGAUAUAUCAGGAAUACAGUUAAAUACUUUUUGCUGUAAUGUGUAGCUUUAAUGUCUCUCCAGUUAUGUACCCAUAUAAGUAUUACUAUAUGUUGUGAAUAAAGAUCAUUGUGUAGACUAGACAUUUGUGUAUGCAUUCAUAGACUGUGGAAAACAGUGGUGUGUGUAUGUUUGUGUAUAUAUAAACAUUUUAUAACACUGUGUAUUACUUAAGUUUAUAUAGAAAAAAUAAUGUAUUGUUUCUUUAGUGUUUGGGAGAUUAAAACUGCAGUAUGACCAUUCCAUUGUAAUCUUAUCACUCACCCUAGAAAACAUUUUUAUUAUACACAGUGUACACACAGAUGCACACCCAAAGCAUUAUCAACUUCUCCCACUUUAGAUAACUGCUGCUUUUUUUAAAACCCUAAGUAAUGGAAGAAGAAAUAACAUAUUCUUUUUAAAGGGGCUUUUCUGAAGAAUAAAAUGUAAAUACAGGUGUUGUGGGGAGGGUACAACCACCUGCAAAAAUGUCCAGCAGAUGGACUAAAUAGCCUUUUAAAUUGUACCUUUUAAUCAUCUUGACCGUGUGUGCCUAUUUGUAUUACAGAUGUGAACUAUUUUUGGGGGUGAUAACAGUAUGUUUUGAAACCAAAUUAUUACAUGAAAUCAAUAAACCUCUUUCUCCAUUCUCUUUUUCCACAUUAACUGUUCUUGCCAAAUAUUUCUACUGAUACCAAGGCAAAAUGUUAGGACUUUCAGACUUCUUCCCCGUCUUCCCUGCCUGUCAUAGCUCUGUUCUGUGCCUGGACUAGCCUUAUAUCUUUUUGUUGGCUUUUCAUAAGUAAGAACAAUCUAUCUUGGAAUUUCAGAAUGUUUAUCUAUAAGUCGUCUUUUUAAAUGUUGGGUUACACAGUAACAUUGGUUAAGACAAGGGAGUCAGUUGUAAGGUCCUACUGGACCGGAUAAGGUACGUGCCACUAAACUUGCUGGCCGCGUUUUACUUGGAGGAAUUGCAACUCUGUGGUGGGCGGUGGGUGGGAGAGCAGUCUGUGAUGUGCGUGUAGCUGCUGUACCCUUAGAGACACCAAAUACUGAAUUCUAUCACUGUGUACUUGAGGCCUAGGCUUUGAAUUUGGUUAUUAUUUUAAUUUCUUGAAAAUUACAUGUAAUUGUGAUGAGCAGAAAGCAAAUAAAGUUUUUUGAAUAAAAGUGCUUAUUUUCAGUAUUUAAAAUUUGUUAGUAAAUCUUCUACUUUGAGUUAAACUAUUUUCCCCUUUAAAAAAAUCACCAAAACUCUGUAGGUGAGAUUGAGAAGCUUGAGGAAGCUAGUUUUUAGAAGUUCAGCCAUGUGUAAUGUUUUAUGUUAAAGAAAUGGUCAUGAUUCUUUCUGAGCCAAACUGUCACUAAAAUGUCCUGUGACAGAACCACCCUUCUUUUCUGCCAUUCUGCAUAUUGGAAAGGUUCUGUGCUGUAUUUGUUUUUAAUUCUUAAUUCAAAAAAAGUUAAUGGUUUUAUUGUUGCUUAGCUUCAGUUUAAAGUGUAACUUCCACUAAUAACUGCAAUAAAAAGGAAAGCUUUGCUCCAAA